rnacentral:rRNA from 1 species
GACGAACGCUGGCGGCGUGCUUAACACAUGCAAGUCGAACGGAGUGGCGAACGGGUGAGUAACACGUGGGUGAUCUGCCUUGCAAUUCGGGAUAAGCUUGGGAACCUGGGUCUAAUACCGGAUAGUGCAAGAUGAGCUCGCGGGCUAUCAGCUUGUUGGUGGGGUAAUGGCCUACCAAGGCGUCGACGGGUAGCCGGCCUGAGAGGGUGGACGGCCACAUGGGGACUGAGAUGCGGCUCAGAGGCCUACGGGAGGCAGCGGUGGGGAAUAUGGCACAAUGGGCGGAAGCGUGAUGCGGCGACGCCGGGUGGGUGAUGAAGGCCUUCGGGGUGUAAACGCCGUUCGACAGGGACGCGGUACCUGUAUAAGAAGCACCGGCUAACUACGUGCCAGCAGCCGCGGUAAUAC